GACGAACGCUGGCGGCGCGCUUAACACAUGCAAGUCGAGCGAAGCGGCGGACGGGUGAGUAACACGUGAGUAACCUGCCUUAGACAUUGGGAUAGCCUCGGGAAACCGGGAUUAAUACAAAAUGGUCUAAGAUGGACUCGCGUCGCAUUAGCUAGUUGGUGAGGUAACGGCCCACCAAGGGGACGAUGGGUAGCCGGGCUGAGAGGGUGGACGGCCACAUUGGAACUGAGCAGCGGUCCAAACUCUACGGGAGGCAGCAGUGGGGAAUAUUGCCCAAUGGAGGGAACUCUGAUGCAGCGACGCUGCGUGAACGAAGAAGGCUUGCGAGUCGUAAAGUUCUUUUAUAUGGGAAGCGGUACCAUAAGAAAAAGCCCCGGCUAACUACGUGCCAGCAGCCGCGGUAAUUC
rnacentral:rRNA from 1 species